CAGUAGCCACGGUAAUACGAAGGGUGCAAGCGUUAAUCGGAAUUACUGGGCGUAAAGCGUGCGUAGGCGGUUUGUUAAGUCUGCUGUGAAAUCCCCGGGCUCAACCUGGGAAUGGCAGUGGAUACUGGCAAGCUAGAGUGUGUCAGAGGAUGGUGGAAUUCCCGGUGUAGCGGUGAAAUGCGUAGAGAUCGGGAGGAACAUCAGUGGCGAAGGCGGCCCCCUGGACAAAGACUGACGCUCAGGUGCGAAAGCGUGGGGAGCAAACAGGAUUAGAUACCCCGGUAGUCCCUGUCUCUUAUAA
rnacentral:rRNA from 1 species